CCUUUGAGGAUCCCCUACCUGUUCAAGGACACCAGGUUGGGAAACACUGACCAUGUAAUCUGUGAGGCCCUUCCCAGCUUUAAGAGUCUCUGAGUCUGGAAAAAGGAGGCAAAUGAGUAAAUCAUGAGUUACCUGGAUAUGCCCCUUCUUCCAGAAGGCCCUGCCGAUUCUCCCUGAAAAGUAGAGUUGCUCCCCGGCGGGAUUGCCCCCUCAGAACCAGCUAUGACUGUCCUCAUUGGGGAAAACAAUGCAAAACCUUCAAAACUAAAACAAAUAGUCAUUAUUUGGAUUUAAAUCCUAGUUGUUUAAUUUCCCCGAAUGUCUUUAGUCUGGAAAUUUAAGGAAAACAACUUUUCCUUAGUUACGUCCAAUGACACUUUGUAAAUAUAGGAGAUGAACAGAAACAUCCUUUUUUACUGUGCCCCAGAUAAUUAAUGAUAAAACUCUUGAGCUCAGAGAGACCCUAGAGAGUCCUUACCCAGUGGGAAACAGCCAUUCUGCUGAAAUGUAAGAGCAAAGCAAAGGAAAGGAGACAAAGAAGACUUCUAGAAACCUGGAGAUUCUAGGGCUUCUUUCCCAAUCCCUGUUCCCUUGUAAAGGGGCCGAGGCCUAGACUCCAUACGCAUCCUCUCUCUCUUAUACCUCUUAAUGACAUGUAUUUCUAGAUACUGUGGGUUUCUAGACACUGUGGGCGGCAACCUUUUGUUUUUUAAAUCUCCCUUGGUGCAGAGAAUCCAGAAUAGUGUUCUUUGCUGGGAAAAAAAUGACAUCAAUGUCAGUAGCCUUUCUCAUGGUGGCCACAUGGUCACAGGGCUGCCUCUGCAGGCAGAAAGCUUGCAAUGUGACUAACUUUGUCCACUUUUAUUAAAAUGUUUACUUUGCCAUUGUCUGACUUCUAAAGAUCAAGAUCUUUUUUUUUCCUCAAGCCUAGGGUUCAUCACUCAUUUUGGAAAGGGGAGAGUUCCUCGCUAUAUUCGUUAGAGGUCUAAUGGAGUCCCUAAGAAGAUUUUAUACUUCUCUUUGGAAUCAAAAAAGAGGACAUUAUUGAAAGCCAUAAUUUGUAUACUUUUCACUGCACCCCAUCAGUCCUCAUUCUUCCUUCCCAGAGCACCUUAUGCAGAGUAGUGCCCUUUUCUUGAUGUUCCUUCAAGAAAGUGCUUCCUGUUUUCAGGAAGAAUGUGUUCUUCUCUUCAGCAAUGGAUGAGCUUCUUCCAGGGAAGUUGACCCAUUUCCUGAUGGCCCCCAGCAGAGUCUUUGCUUGGAUGUUAUUUGCUUCUUGGAUUGAUUUUGCAUUGCUCCUCCAGAGAAAUUGGAAAACCAUCCAAAAAACUUUUAGAAAUGUAGUAUUUCUAGAAAUACUACAAAAAUAGAAGUACUAGAAAAAAAAAACACCGGUAUUUAUUCAUCAUUAUCAUUGCCAUCAUCCUGUCUCUCAUUGUGAUGUUUAAAACCUUCUGUAAACAAAUAAUCAGAGGCUGAGCAUGGUGGCUCAUGCCUGUAAUCCCAGGACUUUGGGAGGCCAAGGCAGAAGGAUCACUUGAGCUCAGGAGUAUGAGACCAGCGUUGGAAACAUACUGAGACCUUGUCUCUACGAAUAAUUAAAAAAAAAAAAAACUUACCAGGCAUGGUGACAUGCACCUGUGGUCCCAGCUACUUGGGAGACUGAGGUGGAAGGAUCACUUUAGCCUGGGCAAUCAAGGCUGCAGUGAACAAUGAUCAUGCCACCACACUCCAGCCUGGAAGACAGAGCAAGACCCCAUCUCAAAUACAUACAUAUAUACAUACAAAUGAUCAAGCAGAUUUCCGGUGUCAGAAAAGCAAAAGACUGCUAUUGUUUUCCAUAUUUAUUGACUCUUGAACAUGAAGCAAACUUAAGUUUACCUGUAUUUUAAGGAAGUAAACCAUGUUGAGAACAUUAAGGCUUUCUCUUUAACUCCUAUGCUGGGCAGCACCUUCAAAUACAAAGAUGAAGAGUGGGAACAACUUGCAAACCCUCCUUCAUGCUGUGGCUUAUGCCUGGGUGAUCUUGGCUAGUGCUCACCACAGACCCUCGGAGUGGGUGUUAUUAACAUUAUAUAUGCCUUCUCACUUUUUCAACCCACAGUGGCUCCUAGUUAACCCUUGAUUAUCUUUGUUUCAUGCUAAGCUCCUCCAUUUGUUUGCUUAGUCGCUCUUAUUCCCAUACGCCAUUCCCAUUUCAUCUCCACAACCCCUGUGCAAGGUAUUUAAGGUGUAUUUGAAUGUGUUCUUGCAAAAUAUAUUAUUCUGUGCACAUGUAUUUCCAUUUAUAUAAAUGUAUUUUAACACAUUUUUUCACAUUUAAAUCUCUGAAGUCAGGAUUCAUCUUACAAUAAAUGGUAUGCCACCAUUUAAUUGGCAGAGCUUUUUUUCUUUUUUAUUGAUAGUCCAUUGAACAAUAGGUGGUAUUUAGAUUUGAUGAAAUAUGGUCUAUAUCACACCCUAACCUUACUUUUCUUCCCCCUGGAGUACCAGUUUAAGGCCAUGCAUGCUUCAUGUACUCAUCUCAUCUGUCACUUCUCACUGCUGCUUAGCCCUCCAGGGUGGACUUUCUGUCCACUCCCAAAGCCCGCCAGGUUGGCCCUUACUCCUUGAAACCACAAACAACACUGCUUGUACUAUCCCCUAUGGAACACUGUAAGCAUUUCACAGGGCUAUAAUAUCUAGGAUUGAAAUCAGGGGGUCAUAUGAUUUGUAAAUAUUAAUUUGACUAAGUAGAGCCAGAUUGCUCUCCAGAACGGCUGUGCUAUCUAUAUUCCCACCAGUGGUACAUGAGGGUCCUAUGUGCCCACAUCUCUGCCAGCAGUUGGCAUUAUCCAACAUGUAAAAUCCUCAUUUUAAAUGUGAGAAAAGAGAUUGUGCUGGUGAACUCUAUUCCCUUUUAUCAAGAAGAACGUGAUGUAGAUGUAUCUAGUGGUACCAGAGCCUG
rnacentral:lncRNA from 1 species